rnacentral:rRNA from 1 species
UACGGAGGAUGCAAGCGUUAUCCGGAAUGAUUGGGCGUAAAGCGUCCGCAGGUGGCAGUUCAAGUCUGCUGUCAAAGACCGGGGCUUAACUUCGGAAAGGCAGUGGAAACUGAACAGCUAGAGUAUGGUAGGGGCAGAGGGAAUUCCUGGUGUAGCGGUGAAAUGCGUAGAGAUCAGGAAGAACAUCGGUGGCGAAGGCGGCAUCCUGGACCGGCAUUGACGCUGAGGAGCGAAAGCCAGGGAGCAAACGGG